GGCUUCAUAGCUCAGUGGUAGAGCGUUUGCACCGGAAUCGCAAAGGGCAUGGGUUCGAAUCCCGUUGGAGUCU
rnacentral:tRNA from 1 species